AAAAGCUAAAGCAAAGAAAAGAGAGAGCACUGAGAGGUAAGAAAAGCACCAUUUUCACUCCUCAAAAGUAUUCUCUCGAAAAGCCAGUGUUCAAGUGGCAAGAGUUCUUCAGCUUUCCAUGAAACCUUUCCGCAUAAGGCAUCGACACUAAAUAAGUAAAAUCUUGACCCUUUACCCCACCACACUAAUGCUCCUCGCAAGAAGUAAUCGAAAACGAAACCGACAAAGGGAGAGUACCUCGAGUGUGAGGGGAGAGUGUAUAUCGCAAACAAAUCUGAGAUCAAGCAGCUAGAGUGCGGGGAUGGAGAGUGACGAAUCGCAAAUGAAGUAGAGAUUGAGCCACCUGAAGAGGCGCAAUCGUGUGGCGGCAAAGAUUACUUGACAAAUCUGAGAGAGAGUUC
rnacentral:lncRNA from 1 species